rnacentral:lncRNA from 1 species
AAAAAUCACAGUGUUAAUUAGAUAGCCAAAAAGAUAUGUAGAGCAAAAUCAUGAAAGGCUAGAGAAUUAUUUGAUUAUUAAGGGAGGAAAAAACCACGGUGAUUCAGGAGCAAAUGUUGAUAAAGACUGCAAACUGAGGGUGCCUUUUGUCCCCCCUUGAGAUACUCAUCAAGUACACAUUAAAUUCCAUUUGACUAGUAUGACCGGAAGCUGCAAGUUGCAUUUCUCAGGCUGUUAGGACGAACUUCACAUCUGUAGCUCAAUUCAAAUCUCCAAGGAAAGAUAUCAGUUUAUGCUUUGUUCUAGUGGUGUUAAUAUACUUAUUAGAAAGGUCUGUUUUUAAGACCAAAUCUGAAAUGAUGAUUUCUUCUCAGUAAGCAAAACCCAAAGACAUCUCUGAGGUUCAUAGAGAUGGAUCUUUAUGGCCAAAGAACACUCACUCCUAACUCUCAGGCAGUAGUGGCUGACUCCUAGACAUGCCACACUUGCAUAGAACACCAUUACAGAGCCAUAACUGAUACAUUAAAAAUAAAGUCCGUUUUGGAAGUCAUAAUGUAAGGAGAAAAAAUACAUUUAUUUUCCAGCUUCAAUUUGUAUGUAAAAUAUUUGGUUACUUCACUGUGUUAGUCUAUCUAAUUUAGGCACUGCUUCCAUAACCAAAUCUGUCUUUUUACUAUUCAUCACGGAUCUAUAGAUGGCAGAAGUAGGACAAAGAAAAGGAUGAUUCAAGGUGGCAGCUUUUGGAUGAUGAUGAUGAUGAUGAUGAUAAUAAUAAUAAUAAUAAACAACCAGCACUACCCACAACAGCAACUUUCCAACAGUAAUGACUAAUGCCUCUUGGAUAUUAAAUGAAAUUCAGCCACGGGGUUCAGGUGGAGGGCAUCUGAAAUGUUCUGAGGAAGCGGCAGCAUGGAAAUCUCUCAUUGCACCAGCAACUGACUUUUCCACAGACACAGAGGUAGAAAAUUACAAUUCCUCUCCACCCCAUCCUGCACUCUUACGGGAUUUAAGGAAUUCCUGCUCCACUUUCCACACAGACCCGGUGUCGUUCAUGCUGGUGCCAAAUUGGACACAAGGGGGCACCGAAGUGCCACAAAUUUUGCCCUGGGACCUUUCUCCACUUGCAAAUUCCCAUCAACAAGAGAAGGCCAGGAAACUCUGGGCCUUCAGGAGCAUUCUUCCCAGCUUACUUAGUAGAGGCAUUGCCAUGGUUGUUGGAAUCAUAAAAGAUUGCCCACAGUUUGUAUUUGCCCUAGUGUCCAUUUUGGUGCCAGUUUGAAAGUACUCUACCAUGGUGGUUGAAGCUCCC